AACGAACGCUGGCGGCGUGCCUAACACAUGCAAGUCGAACGCGAAAAGGGGUAACCCUGAGUAGAGUGGCGCACGGGUGAGUAACACGUAACUGACCUGCCCUAAGCUCUGGGAUAACCAUUCGAAAGGAUGGCUAAUACUGGAUAAGCCCACGAGUCAUCAUUGUGGGAAAAGAAUGGGACCUUACGGGGCCAUUCGACAUAGGAGGGGGUUGCGUCCCAUCAGCUAGUUGGUGAGGUAAAAGCUCACCAAGGCUAAGACGGAGUAGCGUGGUCUGAGGAGGAUGACUCACGACCACACGUAGGAACUGA
rnacentral:rRNA from 1 species